UCAAAACAGCGGACUUCGGUCCUUGCUGCACCCUUGUCUUUUGCGCACCGUAUUGUUUCCUCGGCGGGCUUGCCUGCCGGUUGGACAUUAUCAAAACCUUUUUGUAGUUGCAAUCAGCGUCAGGAAAACAAUAAUUAUUA
rnacentral:misc_RNA from 1 species